UACGUAGGGUGCAAGCGUUGUCCGGAAUUAUUGGGCGUAAAGAGCUCGUAGGUGGCCUGUCGCGUCGGCUGUGAAAACUCGGGGCUCAACUCCGAGCUUGCAGUCGAUACGGGCAGGCUAGAGUUCGGUAGGGGAGACUGGAAUUCCUGGUGUAGCGGUGAAAUGCGCAGAUAUCAGGAGGAAUACCGAUGGCGAAGGCAGGUCUCUGGGCUGACACUGACGCUCAUGCACGAAAGCGUGGGGAGCAAACAGG
rnacentral:rRNA from 1 species